UACGAAGGGGGCUAGCGUUGCUCGGAAUCACUGGGCGUAAAGCGCACGUAGGCGGCUUUCUAAGUCAGGGGUGAAAUCCUGGAGCUCAACUCCAGAACUGCCUUUGAUACUGGGAGCUCGAGUCCGGAAGAGGUGAGUGGAACUCCGAGUGUAGAGGUGAAAUUCGUAGAUAUUCGGAAGAACACCAGUGGCGAAGGCGGCUCACUGGUCCGGUACUGACGCUGAAAUACGAAAGCGUGGGGAGCAAACAGGG
rnacentral:rRNA from 1 species